CUAGUUAUCUACAAAAGUUUUAUGGAUUUAUAUUAAUUAUGACAAAUAUAAUGAGCAUAAUGUAAAUUACAAAUAGUUUUGAAGUUGAAUUUGAAGUUUUCCUUUUGGAGAAAAACACCUUGAAACUUCAAAUAUAAAGUUUGCAAAACUCUAUAAUAGAGAGUCUUUUUGGAGAUGCUCUAAUGGGUCGUGAUCUAAAAUCCCACCAAACAAAAAUUUCAUCAAACUAAAUCUUGUACUUACCCCAAAAAAAAAAUUUCUUGUACUUACAUUUUAAUCUCUUCAACUAACCUUGUAUUGAAACGUUUCAAUAGACGGAGAAGAGACUAAUUGAAUAACUUUGACGAUCAUAAGAACAUAAUAAUACUGAUAUUUAGAUCUGAUUAAAAACUUUAAACACUUGCAACUUGAGAUGACUUUCUCUCAGGCAAAAAAACACUUGAGAUGAUUUUCUAUUAGUUAAUCAUAAGCAAACGAAAACAUUCCUUUCAACUUUUGUUUUGUUUUGAUAAAGAAAAACGACAUGCUUUUCAACCAUCAAGUAGUGUUAGAUAUCUAAUUAUAUAAAGAAUUGUUGGAGUCUCUCCCGCAUUGUCCACGUGGAAAGUCGAUGCCUGACAAGCCGACACGUGUCCUAAACGCAUCGUUUCAUUUAUUCUCUACGUUUGUGGGCUUUGUCGCGUGUUGAGUGUUUGGGCCGUGAAGUGUGAAGAUAUGUCGGGCCCAUAGAGUAUCUGUUGUCUCUAUUCCUGAUACGCAGAGAAGAAACGAGGUCCUCUUCCCUCUUUGUGCGACGGCGACUAUGUUGUUUCCUCUUUCUCUUACCUUCUGAAACGGUUUGAGUAAAGAUUUCGUGUUUAAUCUCAUUGAUUCCCCAUCUUCAAUGCUCUUUUUCGAUCUCAAAGUCGGUGAUUUCAGUAUAAAUAAGUGGUUUUCUUCUCCAAUCUGAAGUCCGGCAACUGCUCCUCCGUUGUCGAGGCUAGGCUUCUGCGGUUUUGGGAGGCUAGGCUUCUGCUUUUUUGGGUCGAUAUGCUUCGUGUCUCUUUUGUUUCGUCAUGAAAAGCAAGAGUUUCAAGGAGUGUCCUCAUCCAGAUGAUAAGCAGAGAACCAACUUAGCAGAGAAUAGGGUUUGGCUCCAAGACAAAUAAAGUUCUGGUUCCAGAACAGAAGAACUCAGCUUAAGGCGCAACAUGAGAGACCAUAUAACAAUGCACUAAAGGCAGAGAAGGACAAGUCGAUUGCACCACCGCGAUGUUUUUGGGAUCUAACGAGAGCCAGGAAUGAACACUUUCGCAGAAAAGUUGGAUCAUUUUAAGAGUUGGGACAUGGUUGUCAUCAAAUGGGAAUCUCUCCACGCGGCCGUAAAAGUUUUCUGGAUCAUAACAUUCUUCUAUGCAUAGUGAUUAUGAUGUCGCAUAUCAAGCACGGACUUGACUUGCAAGAUCAUCAUCAUCUCCACCUGCAAGAUCGCAGGUGUAAAGACACCAGUGAGAAAUUCUACUUCAGUGAGAGGGUCAACUUCGGGAAGAGCAUCAUCUCCUCCAGAAAAAAUCCACAAAGCCCAAGAGAAACAUAUUAAAGACGGUUGGAUCCAGAUCGAUAGCUGCAAGGGGGAAGAAAGGUUCAGAAAGAACAGGUAAGAAACUAAGUGUUGUUGGGUUCAGAGAUCGGUCUUCUGCGGCUAGACCCUCCUCUUAAUUACAUGCUGUUUGACUUGAGGUUGAGGAAAGUUAAAAGUCCGUAGAUUAUGGUCGGAUUAUGAUUGAAUGUGUGUUAAAGAAGAAUCAUCUUGAGAAACCAUAACAUGUUCUUUCUUCUACGAAUUUUAUAUCGAUAGAAGAAAUUCUCUUUUGCCUUGACAGAAACUCAAAUCAGUAAAGUCAGUCUGUAUAUGACAUUGACAUCAAUGGCGGUUGUAUCAUAUUCGUUUUGGGUGGUAGAAUGGUUUUUAUACAAAUUGAGUUAUGGCGUGGGACAUGUCUUUCAAAAUUAACUAAUGUUCUGAUGUGAAUAACAUUUCUUAAACGGAAUUUACUGAAA